CUAUAAAAAGCAGUUCAAAUAAAUAUAAAGCGCCGGAUUCCUUAACCGGGUGCCCCGAGGUCGCCCCCCCCUGCUUUGCACAUGUGCAUUUGUGAGAAACUUGCCUUACAUGUGCAGCAGGUUAACAUGGGUGACGUAACACGCUGUGACUUACCUCUCAUAGAGAGUUAAAUGGAAAUCCGUGGUGGAGACUGGGGGCAUUUUUUGUUAAUUAAAAAAAAAAGGAAAAUACAUGCACCCAUUAUAUGGAAAUUCUGCUUUUCUAGUUCAGAAAAUGCUAUUUUGCUUCCUGAGCCAGUGAUGGUCCCUCCCUAGACCUGCUCUGCUGCGAAAGAGCACUGAUCCGGAUGCCUGAAGACUCAGAUCAGCAGUCUAGUUAACUGCAUGCACAUGAAGUUAAGCAGUACACAUUGACACUGCCUUUCACGUCAGGAGGAGCCUUUGCCACUCAGAUGCCGCCAAGACUGAAAGUGAGAGAACCAAGGCGAGGAGUAGCUGUAGUCAUGGAACAGGCCAGAUGUGAAAAGAGUGCUCAGUUUAAAAAUUAUCCAAGAUCUGAAGCUAGCUAUGAAAAUGCAGUGGACAGGCUGAUUUAGGCACCAAGACUUUUCAUAAAGCACAUGACUGUCAAUGCCAAUGAACAUGUUUAUAUUCUUGAAUGUGGCAGCUCUCUUAAAUGGUUGUAUGAAAGCAUAAAAUGGGCCAGGAAAGUAUGACUUUUUUCAUUAAGUAUAAAGGGAAACUAUAACUUAUUAUUAGUAAGGGUUAUCUUCUUACACUAAUUUUCUCUUAAACAGAAUCUUAAAUCUGCAUAUAUGCAUAUGAGGUGUUUUUCCUUUCAUUGAAGCAUUCACUGUUGUCUGCAACAGAAGUACGUGUUAUAUGUCAGAACCUUUGUAAUAAAAGUGGAAAAUACAUGUUACCUCCAACUAACUAAGAUGAAAACCCCUUCUAAGCAGGGAUAGUUUUCCUAAUAGAUUUAUCUUUCUGAAACAUCUUUGGCUGUUAAAAUAAUCUACAGUAAAUAAGACAAAAUUUAAAGUGUAUAUGUUUAAUUUGUUUUAUUAUUUCUCCAUGUUAUUGUACUUAAAUAAUGUGUAUAUGUAAAAACAACUAUAAAAUGACUGUACACAAAAUAAAAUACAGUAUAUUGUAUAAGGAAAACAGGUUGUCUCCUGCGUUAGAAUUGCUUUAGACCUAUAUUUGCUUUUCAGUGUUAAUAUUUCCCCCUAUUUGUUUCAUCUUUCAGUUUCCUUAUGGAACGCCCUGCAUAUUGGAUAUGACAUCUGUUACACUCAUACACUACAAAAGAUGUGUUACAAGUAAAAAUUAUUUUAUUUUCGGGACCCGCAUUGGUGGAUGAGAACAUAUGGGACAUCACAACACCAGCUGCAGCUAUUAAAACGGUGACAUGGCAAUUUUCCCUGUUGGCAACUAAUCACCUAUAAGGACAGGAUACAUUUAUCUAUCUUUUAUACCCUCCAAAUGCUGUGUUUUGUUUGUUUGUUUUUACGAUAUAGGGUAUU